rnacentral:sRNA from 1 species
CAAUUGCUUUACCUUAAUCCAUUUUGUCCUGUAUCCAACUUUCUCCUGUCCCCCAAGGGCCUGCCGUGCCCUCUCCAGCUUGAUUGAGAUCCAAGUGGUGCAUGUACGAUGGCUGUCUCAAUUAUGAACCGCAACUUAAAUACCUUCUCCCCACGCUCGAAACCCGUGGUGAGAAUUUCUCUCAAGGAUCAACAGGCAUCCCCAGUCAAUUCAUACACAACUCUUGACAAAAUCGACGGAGAAGUUAGUAUCAGAUCUGAUUAUGAUGUUUCCUUUGAGCAACUGUCAAUCACUUUUGAAGGCACCUCGAGAACUGUCAUAGAAUCACCUGGGGUCUCAGGACCAGCCAUUGGCCGGUAUUCCGCAUUCCACAUGUUUUUGCGCCUUGCGCAGCCAAUUGAUGAACAACAAUAUCCCCAGAACCGAAUUCUCGAGGCUGGUCGAACAUACACAUUCCCUUUUACUUUUGUAGUCCCUGAGCAAUUGCUCCCCAGUUCAUGCAAUCAUAAACACAACCAUCCUCAA